GCUUAAAUAUACCGGUUGACUCAUGCGACUUAAUAAUAAUUGCGAUCAUUCAGCGGAAACUAGAUCAAUAUACAUUGCAAGGGUUUCACUUUCUUUGACUUUUCUAGAAAAAAGAGCUGCAGCAAUGGGAAACAUCACAUCCUGCGAGUCUACAGGCCAGAGUGUGAGUAAGGACACUCCAAAAAAGCCGUCAUACAUAGCUAACAACAUCAAACCCAUCACUGAAGAACCCACAUAUCCUACUGCGUGAGAGACUGCCAGUGAUACCAGGUCAGCUGUUUCUACACAACACUCAGUUCGGCUACAUUGUUGCUGGCACUGCACCAUUGAACAGCGAGGGAUGUUCAUCACUACCAAGUAACUUUUGCAA